rnacentral:rRNA from 1 species
AGAAUUUGCUAGAGAUAGCUUAGUGCCUUCGGGAACUCUGAGACAGGUGCUGCAUGGCUGUCGUCAGCUCGUGUUGUGAAAUGUGGGUUAAGUCCCGCAACGAGCGCAACCCUUAUCCUUUGUUGCCAGCGAGUAAUGUCGGGAACUCAAAGGAGACUGCCGGUGAUAAACCGGAGGAAGGUGGGGAUGACGUCAAGUCAUCAUGGCCCUUACGAGUAGGGCUACACACGUGCUACAAUGGCAUAUACAAAGAGAAGCGAACUCGCGAGAGCAAGCGGACCUCAUAAAGUAUGUCGUAGUCCGGAUUGGAGUCUGCAACUCGACUCCAUGAAGUCGGAAUCGCUAGUAAUCGUAGAUCAGAAUGCUACGGUGAAUACGUUCCCGGGCCUU